rnacentral:tRNA from 3 species
GCGCCCUUAGCUCAGCUGGCAGAGCAGGGGACUUUUAAUCCCAAGGUCCAGGGUUCGAACCCCUGAGGGCGCACCA